UAAAAUCAAUAGCCACCCCAAUACCCCACCCAAACCUACUAGGCCCACUACCCAAAGUCAUGGCUAAUAUUUUUAGGUUGGGGCGACCCUGGAGAAAAACAAAUCCUCCAGAAACCAAGGCCACAACCCUUAACCAAGAGCUACCCCUCAACGUACUAAAAGUACACAGACCCAAUAAAAUUGAUCAAUGGACCAAGCUACCCCAGGGAUAACAGCGCAAUUCCCCCCAAGAGCCCCUAUCGACGGAGGAGUUUACGACCUCGAUGUUGGAUCAGGACAUCCUAGUGGUGCAACCGCUACUAAGGGUUCGUUGUCAGCGAUAACGC
rnacentral:rRNA from 1 species